rnacentral:rRNA from 1 species
UCAAGAAUUUUUCACAAUGGGCGCAAGCCUGAUGGAGCGACGCCGCGUGGGGGAUGAAUGGCUUCGGCCCGUAAACCCCUGUCAUUUGCGAUCAACCCUUAUUAUUUAAAAGAUGAUAAGCUGAUAGUAGCGGAAGAGGAAGGGACGGCUAACUCUGUGCCAGCAGCCGCGGUAAUACAGAGGUCCCAAGCGUUGUUCGGAUUCACUGGGCGUAAAGGGUGCGUAGGUUGUGACGUAAGUCGGAUGUGAAAUCUCGGAGCUCAACUCGGAAAUGGCAUUGGAAAAUGCUUUGCUCGAGGGUUGGAGGGGGGACUGUAAUACUUGGUGUAGCAGUGAAAUCCGUAGAUAUCUGGAGGAACACCAGUGGCGAAGGCGGCUCUCUGGCCUAGAACUGACGCUGAAGCGCGAAAGCGUGGGGAGCGAACG